UACGAGGGGGGCAAGCGUUGUUCGGAAUUAUUGGGCGUAAAGGGUGCGUAGGCGGUUUGGACAAGUCUAAUGUGAAAUCUAUGGGCUCAACCCAUAGUCUGCAUUGGAAACUGUCGGGCUUGAGUAUGGGAGAGGUGAGUGGAAUUUCCGGUGUAGCGGUGAAAUGCGUAGAUAUCGGAAAGGAACACCUGUGGCGAAAGCGGCUCACUGGACCAUUCUGACGCUGAUGCACGAAAGCUAGGGGAGCAAACAGG
rnacentral:rRNA from 1 species